ACCUCUUUCCAAAUCCCCAUUGUUUGCUUCAUUCACAGCCCUCUAUCUCCUGUAUUUGAAGUAGAUGAGGAGUUGGAGGAUGCUUAAGGGAGUUCCAAGCACACAUGGACCCUAUAGUACAACAAAUUAAUUAUUAAUAUUAUUUCUUCUUAAUUCUCAAAUUAAUUAAUUAAUAAGAUAUACACAAAAGAGUAUUACAAAGUAUGUCACAUCCAUUAAUUAAUUCUCAAAAUAAUUUUUAAAUGUAGACGUUUCUAAAAUAUGUCACAUCCAUUAAAUAUUUAUAUGCUUUUAGAAACACAAAAUUACAUAGUGAAAUUUCAAUUGUCAACAGUGACAGAUACUGUUCAUUUUAUUAACAUGGACUAAGCAGCAGACGGUUGUUAACAUUAUAAGGGAGACAGAGAAGAUGCUAUUUGAUUUCUUGCCAAAACUCAUUAAAUUACAUCUUGAUUGACAUAAAACUUUCGAUAGUUGCAUGUAUUUUUGGCUUAUCAGUCUCUUUCAUAUCUCAAAUUUUCAUGUGAACAUAAAAGUGUGUUGGUUGUUACAUGUAAGACUAUUAAAAUAAUCAUAAUUUCUAAAGAAAAAUUCAAUAUAUAUAUAUAAACUGUUGGGGAGUCCGGGGAGCUAAGAUCAACAAAGGCGUUACGGUUAACCAAAGUUUUCAUUGACAUGGUAUGAAAAAAGCUAAGAUCAUGGUUAUAAAACACAUCUUGCAAUUACUUCAAUUGUUGAACCCUAGCUAGCUAUGGCCAUAUAUUUUUAUUUCAUUUUUUAAUUUUAGAGGACACAAUUUGUUUUCUAUACACCUUUGAAAAUUUACUUUUUAUUGGUAUAUAGUAAUAUUUAUUAAUUUUAUUGUUUUGUCUGUGCGAGACAUCGAUCUCUAUUUCUCUUUUUCAAUAAUAAAAUAUGUAAGUUAUAAAAAAAUUACUAAAAUAUAAUUUUUAUUUAUUAUCUUUUAUUUUUUAUUUAUUUUGUUUUUUAUUUUAUUUUAUUUUUAUUUAGAUUCUUUAUUUAUUUUAUUUUGUAGUCCCACGUUGACCAGGAAUGGAGGCUAUAUUGGAUAUAUAAGGAGAAUGACCCAUAAUCCUAAUGCCUUAAGGUUUUGGGUUGAGAUGUGGUGUCUAAGUCUCUUAUAAAUCCUUGUUUAGCCCAUUCCGAAUGUCGGGCUCCCCCGGACUCCCCAACAAGUGGUAUCUAGAGCUCGGUUAUUUGAUUUGUCCAUUUAAAUGAGGUCCCAAUAUGAUUAAACUCAACUCUUCUAAAUGUGUUCGAUCAGAUAACGGUGACAAAUAGUGUUGAAAGAGAAAAGGGAAGGAAAUUGAAAUGUGUUCGAUCAGAUAACGGUGACAAAUACAGAGGGAAAGACAUAAUCAGAUGUAUGCUCUCUCAUGCAAAAUUAUCGAAAUCCUUUUGGGGUGAAGCAAUGAAAACUGAUGUGGAUUUGAUCAAUCUUUCUCCUUCUAUUCCACUUGAUGGUGAUGUGCAGGGAAAGAUGUCUCUUACCGUCAUUUGAGAGUUUUUGGUUGCAGAUGUUUUGUUCACGUUCCAUGAGAUGAGAGGUCCUGAAGAUUUUGAUAAAGCUGAAAAACAGAAACCAAAUUCCAGAAGUUACAUUGAAAAUGUUGCGCCUAAGCCCCCUGCAGAAACCUUUGUUGAUGGGGAGAUAUACAGGUAGAUAAUGAGAAUGUAACUGAUGAUCAUGUACCUCACCAUGAUGAGCAUGUUCCAGUUGAGCCACCAGUCGAGUUUGAGUUGAGAAGAUCUACUAGAGAACGUCAACCUUCUCAAAGAUAUCCUCCACAUGAGUAUGUGAUGAUCACUGAUAGUGGAAAGCCAUAGUAUUAUCAAGAAGCUAUUACAAAUGUUGAUAAAGAAAAGUGGUUAAAGGUCAUGCAAGAAGAGAUGAAUUCCUUGCAUGAGAAUCACACAUUUGAUUUGGUAAAGUUGCCUAAUGGUAGAAAAGCACUCAAGAACAAAUGGAUAUACAAGAUAAAGACAGAAGAGAAUAGUUCUCAACCAAGAUACAAAGCAAGAUUGGUUGUGAAAGGUUUUAAUCGGAGAAAAGGUAUUGACUUUGAUGAAAUUUUUUCACUUGUGGUGAAAAUGUCCUCUAUCCGAGUUGUGCUUGGGUUAGCAGCUAGUUUGAACCUAGAAGUUGAACAACUUGAUGUGAAAACUGCAUUCCUUCAUGGUGAUUUGGAGGAAGAGAUCUAUAUGGAGCAACCAGAGGGUUUCGAAGUCAAAGGUAAAGAACAUACACUAGUACGGACACAAAUAAAUAUUUACAAAAUUGGGCGGGUACAAAAUCUAUUAAUAUGACAAUUGUUAACGAUGAAAAGAGGAAAAAAGAGGAAGAAGAGAAACAACCACUCUAGGGUUUCAUAACAUAUAAUGAACCAAAACUCAAGUUAAUAGGGUUACAAUGAGUAUAUAUAUAAAAGAAUAGAAUUGUCUAAAAUACCCUUACUACUAAUAUAUAAUAAUAUUAUCUAACAUCUCCCCUCAAACUCACGAUGCAUUAACAUGGAGCAUAGAAAUAAGAGAGUCUCCAAGAAAGAUACAGAACCAUGUGGUGGAUUUACGAUUUGUGGUGUCACCAGCCCAAUCAGCAUCAGAAUAAGCUUGUAACUCUAAUGAGGAUGACGAUGGAAAGAGAAGACUUUGAAAUUGAGUUCCUCGAAGAUAACGAAGAAUCCGAAUAACUGUUGCCCAAUGUACUGUAGUGGGAGAGACAACAAACUGAAUAACAACAUGAACAACAUAAGCAAUGUCAGGUCUGGUAAUCGUAAGAUACACUAAGCUGCCAACCAAAGUACGAAACAAAGUAGAAUCUGGUAAAGGAACACCAUUCGAAGGAGCAUAUUUCACAUUCAACUCAAGAGGAGUAUCUGCUGCUCUAGUAUCAAAAAGACGAGUCUGAUCAAGAAAGUUGGCAAUGUACUUGGAUUGAGAAAGAAGGUAGCCUCUAGGAGAGUAGGCAACUUCAAUCCCCAAGAAAUAGCGAAGAGUUCCCAAAUCCUUCAUCUUAAACUGUUUGGCUAACUGCAAUUUCAACUCAUUGAUUCCACUGACAUCAUCACCUGUAAUUCCACUGACCCAUCAGACUUAGUUUUGAUCUUGUAUACCCAACGAGACCCAAUAGCACGUUUUCCAGGAGGAAGAGGUACCAAUUCCCAAGUAUUGGUUUUGUGCAAUGCAAAAAGUUCUUCUGCCAAGGCCUGGUGCCAAAGAGGAUCAAGAACAGCCUCUUUAUAGGAAGAGGGCUAAGACAAACUGUGAAUAGAGGUUAAUAAAGAAACAAACCAAGUUGAGUAAGUGGAAUAGAAAAAAUCAGGUAACUGAGUAGACUUACGUUGACGAGAGGGGUAACGAGGAGGAUCAACAAUCGCAGGAGGUGGUUGAACAACCGGGGGGCAAGAUGGAUGUCAUCAUGUGGAGUAUUAGUAUUUGUCCUGCAAUUCUCAAUGUUACAAUCACCAGAAGCAUAAUCAUUAUGACCAAACGGAUUAAUAUGGGUUAGUUCAGAACUCUUAGUAAUCUGAGAAUCAGAGGAAAUAGAGUAAAAAGGGGAUGUGCUCAAGAAAAACAACAUUACGAGAUACAUAAAGUUUUCCUACAUGAGGAUUAUAACAACGAUAACCUUUUUUACCAUUCCCAUAACCAAGAAAAACACACAGCGUUGAACGAGAAGACAACUUAAUGCGCUCUACUUGAGGGCGAAGAACAAAACAAGUAGAAACAAAAAAUUUCAAAGAAUGAUAAUCAGGGGUAGAAGCAUACAAUUUUUCAAAGGGAGACAAACCUGAUAUGAUAGAGGACGGAAUUCUAUUAAUAGCAUGAACAGCAGUAAGAACUGUUUCUCCCCAAAACUCACUAGGAACUGAAGCAGACAACAAAAGGGAACGAACAGUCUCUAUAAUAUGAUAGUGUUUCCUUUCAGCAACUCCAUUUUGUUGAGGAGUAUCAGUACAAGAUGUUUGGUGGAGGGUGCCAUCAUAAGCAAGUAAUUCAGAAAAUUUAUUAGAGGUAUAUUCACCACCUAAAUCACAACGAAAACACUUUAUAACAGAAUUAUGUUGAGUUUUGACCAUUGCACGAAACAUAUGAUAAAUGUCAAAAAAUUCAGACCGAUUUUUCAUAAGAUAAACCCAACAAUAACGAGUAUAAUCAUCAAUAAACGAAACAUAAUAUCUAGAUCCACCCCGGAAUGUGGAUCCUGCACACAACAAGAAGUGGAAGAAAACAUAACCGAAUAACCGAGAUCACAUAUUUGACUAACAGAAGCAAGACUCAAAGUAAGAUUAGGAAUAUAAUAAACAUCAGAAAGAGACAUGUUAGGUGUGGAGACAGAACCAACGCCUGCUAGUGGCAUAGGAGUGCCAUCAGCAGUCAUAACCGACACAGACGGGACAAGUUUCACAGACACAAAAGAUUUAUCAUCGUAUGGCAUAUGAUGAGAUGCUCCGUAUCAAGAAUCCAUAUGGAAGGAGAUAUACCUGACAUACCAGAGGAGUUCAAACCUUUAGAGGAGGUGGCAGACAUGGCAUGUGAUUGAGUGGCAAGAAGUUUUUGAAGUUGUUCUGCAAUAUCAGAUAUUUGAGAAGCAAUCUCAGAUGGGUAUACAGAACCAGACCUAGAGCCAAUGGUAGGAGGAGCAGAAGCAACAACAUUGGACGAUGACCCCCCUAAAAUUCUUCUUAUGUGUUCUCCCCAAUUUCGGAUAAUGUUCUUGAAGAGAGUCAUCCUUAGCAUCAGCCAUAACAAAUAAUGACAGGAAAAUACGACAAAUACAAUCACUGAGACAAAAUAAAUUAGAAAUAAUCUGGUGUUGUGCGAGCCCGAUUUCUCCCUCUCUGGACGUUGUUUCGCCGAUCCGACCAUUGAAGACGGAGACCUAAAUGUUGCGCAAAAAUCAGCCCGAUCCAACGGUUAACGAAUGCGCAAUCGAUGUUUUUCUGAGACUGAUUUAACAAAAUCGGGAAUAGGGUUACUCUUCUCUUUUCUCUUUUGGUGGUUGUCUUUCCUAUCAAAAUAGUCUCUCUCUUCUCUACGGUAGAUCCCAAAAUCAACCAAAGCUCUUUGAUACCAUGUUAACAAUGAAAAGAGGAAGAAAGAGGAAGAAGAGAAACAACCACUCUAGGGUUUCAUAACAUAUAAUGAACCAAAACUCAAGUUAAUAGGGUUACAAUGAGUAUAUAUAUAAAAGAAUAGAAUUGUCUAAAAUACUCUUACUACUAAUAUAUAAUAAUAUUAUCUAACAACAUUUGCAACAGAAUAUUUCACCAACAUAGGAAUUAUGCAAAUUUAUCCAAAGAGAAAUGAUAUUGGAGGAAUAAGCUUUAUUGAUGACUAUUGAGUAUUGUACAUACAUAAACAUGAUGAUAGAAUAAUGUGUAGCUUCCACGUCAGAAAAUGAGUACUAGACAAAGAAAGUGACCUUAAAAAAAGUAUGUGAUAUUCAGGACUCAGGAGCUCAGUAAUCAACAGGAAAUUUUGCAUUAUAGUUGUGCAAAGCACAGUGCAUGUAUGAAGCAGAAACUGACAUUUAAUAAUUCAGUCAAUAUACCAAAAAUAUCCAUAUGUUGUAUCCUACUUAAGAUUGUAUCAAACAAACAUAUUUUUCUUUCUUACCUCAAACUGGGAACUCCACAGCAUGCUCUGUUGCUGGUUUAAUUGACACAUCCAAUUCCAAAAUACCAUGAUUUCUUGAGACUGAAAUCUCUUUAGCUGCGCCAUCUUAGAAGCAGCACUACAAUUAAAGAUGUAAAACCUCAUUAUCACUACACUACGCUACAUCAUAAAUUCAUAAGUUCGUUGUAGUAGUUGGUUGAGUGAGAGAGAUUGUAUUA
rnacentral:lncRNA from 1 species